rnacentral:rRNA from 1 species
AUUGAACGCUGGCGGCAGGCCUAACACAUGCAAGUCGAGCGAGCGGCGGACGGGUGAGUAAUGUCUGGGAACUGCCUGAUGGAGGGGGAUAACUACUGGAAACGGUAGCUAAUACCGCAUACUAUUGGAGGGCCGAUAUCGGAUUAGCUAGUUGGUGGGGUAACGGCUCACCAAGGCGACGAUCCCUAGCUGGUCUGAGAGGAUGACCAGCCACACUGGAACUGAGACACGGUCCAGACUCCUACGGGAGGCAGCAGUGGGGAAUAUUGCACAAUGGGCGCAAGCCUGAUGCAGCCAUGCCGCGUGUAUGAAGAAGGCCUUCGGGUUGUAAAGUACUUUCAGCGAGGAGGCGUUACUCGCAGAAGAAGCACCGGCUAACUCCGUGCCAGCAGCCGCGGUAAUUC